ensembl:lncRNA LINC00331 long intergenic non-protein coding RNA 331
UACCAUGUGUGGACACAGCAAGAAGGCAGCAUCUAUAAGCUAGGAAGGAGGCCCUCACCAGACUUGGAAUCUGCUGGCUUCCUGAUCUUGGCCUUUCUAGCCUCCAGAACUGAACAUGGAUGAAGCUGGAGGCCAUUAUCCUUAGCAAACUAACACAAGAACAGAAAACCAAAUACCGCAUGUUCUUCCUUAUAAGUGGGAGCUACAUGAUGAGAUGAGAACAUUGCCCAAAGGAACCAAGUGAAAUUACCAAAUUAGAAGUGAUAAGAGGUUGACUCUCUCCAGAAAUUUAUUGUAAUUAGAAAGAGGUAAUGGUGUCUAAAUAAGAUGAAAGAAGAUAUUUUAAAGAUGAUAAUAACAAAAACUACUAGAAUGAGGUGAAGCCAGAAAGGAAGAGUCAUAAUCAAAGAAGAGAGUGAUCAAGAAUCCAAAAUA